UAUCCCCUACGGGAGGCAGCAGUAGGGAAUCUUCCACAAUGGACGAAAGUCUGAUGGAGCAACGCCGCGUGAGUGAAGAAGGGUUUCGGCUCGUAACGCUCUGUUGGUAGUGAAGAAAGAUAGAGGUAGUAACUGGCCUUUAUUUGACGGUAAUUACUUAGAAAGUCACGGCUAACUACGUGCCAGCAGCCGCGGUAAUACGUAGGUGGCCAGCGUUGUCCGGAUUUAUUGGG
rnacentral:rRNA from 1 species